GACGUAGGGCGCGAGCGUUGUCCGGAUUUAUUGGGCGUAAAGAGCUCGUAGGCGGCUUGUUGCGUCGACUGUGAAAACCCGCGGCUUAACUGCGGGCUUGCAGUUGAUACGGGCAGGCUAGAGUUCGGGUAGGGGAGACUGGAAUUCCUGGUGUAGCGGUGAAAUGCGCAGAUAUCAGGAGGAACACCGGUGGCGAAGGCGGGUCUCUGGGCCGAUACUGACGUGAGGAGCGAAAGCGUGGGGAGCGAACGG
rnacentral:rRNA from 1 species